UAGAUGCGAGAGUAGAGCAUAUCAAUAAGCGGAGGAAAAGAAACUAACAAGGAUUCCCCUAGUAACGGCGAGUGAAGCGGGAAGAGCUCAAAUUUGAAAUCUUCAAGGGUUUCCCUUGACGAAUUGUAGUUUAAAGAAGUGUUUUCUGUUAGAGAGGUGGUAAAAGUUCUUUGGAAUAGGACAUCAUAGAGGGUGAGAAUCCCGUAUUUGAUCACUUUCUACUAACGUUGUGAUACACUUUCAAAGAGUCGGAUUGUCUGGGAAUGCAGUCCAAAAUGGGUGGUAAAUUUCAUCUAAAGCUAAAUACUGGCGAGAGACCGAUAGCGAACAAGUACCGUGAGGGAAAGAUGAAAAGAACUUUGAAAAGAGAGUUAAACAGUACGUGAAAUUGUCAAAAGGGAAGCGUUUGACACCAGUGUUGUUUUUCCGAAAAUCAAUUAAGAAUGUUUUAUUUUUGAGGAGUUAUGACUUCAUCGGCUUGCUCCUUUCUUUAUGAAACUUUCUUAAUGCACUUUUCGGUUAACAAGUCAACAUCAAUUUCUUUUGUUGUAAAAGGGUAUGAGGAAGGUGGCUUUCUUUUCGGAGAAAGUGUUUAUAGCCUUGUGCCUCUGCAAUCGGAGAGAUUGAGGUCUGCAGCGUAGAUCCUUCGGGGUUAGAUACGUUUGUGCUAAGUUAUAGCUUUUCAUAGACAACUUGUUGACUAUGUUUAGUCUUGUAGCUUACUCGCUUACGCUAUUUUACCUACGCUUAGGAUGUUGACGAGACUGUCGAUCUC
rnacentral:rRNA from 1 species